UUAUGUCUACAUGUAUUAUUAUAUAUUAUAGUUGCUCCUAAUGGUAAUGGCAAUGAUGAAACUAUUCCAGCACCAACUAAAAGAGGAAGAGAAGGAGGUUUUGAUAUUAAAACAGCUAAAAAAAAGAUCAAACAAGUUAUGAUUGAGAAUCACUCUGAUUUUGCUGGGCUUCUCCAGUUUUCUCUGGAAGAUGUUGCUAACAAACUGUUUGAGGUUCAUAUGAUUCCUCCUAAAGUUCAACAGUUGCCAACUUAUGAUGCCAUAUCCACCUGUUUUGUAUCUAUGAUGAGUUUAUUAGACUCUAAGUCAGAUUUAGAGGAACAUUGCAUGAUGUUUCUAGAGGCUCUGUCUAGUGUUGGGGGACCAAUAGAACGCGUUGCUAAACGCUUGCAAGAAAAAUGGACAGCAGCUCUGGAGGGUGCACUUCAGUUUGAACAGCCUGGGAAAAGAGUUAGAACUAAUAAUGAUGCACUUAAUGGUUUUAAUUAUUAGAAUUUUUAGUUGAUGCUAUGUUCUAUUUUGUUCUUGUCUUUUUCUCUAAUUGUUUUCAGUAUUCAUUCUUCAUUGUAA